rnacentral:rRNA from 1 species
GGAUUAGAAACCCGGGUAGUCCACGCCGUAAACUAUGCAUGCUAGACGUUGGAGGCCUUAGGUCUCUUGUGUCGUAGCUAACGCACUAAGCAUGCCGCCUGGGGAGUACGGCCGCAAGGUUGAAACUCAAAUGAAUUGACGGGGGCCCGCACAAGCGGUGGAGUAUGUGGUUUAAUUCGACGCAACGCGAAGAACCUUACCAACCUUUGACAUGGGAAGUAUGGAUUUGAGAGAUCAGAUCCUUCAGUUCGGCUGGCUUCCACACAGGUGCUGCAUGGCUGUCGUCAGCUCGUGUCGUGAGAUGUUGGGUUAAGUCCCGCAACGAGCGCAACCCUCAUCUUCAGUUGCCCCCAGGUAAGGCUGGGCACUCUGAAGAAACCGCCGGUGAC